rnacentral:lncRNA from 1 species
GGGCGCUUGCAAUACCGCAAUUGGUGGUGAUAGUGGAGUGGAGAACGAUAAUGGUAGCAUACCGGAAUCGUUCUACACCAACGGAGGCCUGAAGCUGCGCGUUGUGUGGACCAUCAGCUCGUUGAUCGCCGCCUCCGCCAGGCAUUACCUUCUGCAGCCUAUAAUAGCGGAGCACAAGACGCUCUCGAGCUUGGUUUUGACGGAUGCUGAUGGGCAAGGGGUGCUGUCUAUGAAUAAGGAGCAGCUGGAGGAGCUGAGGGUGAAGCCUCUGUCAGCGUCGUCGGCUUCGAAGAGGACUCUUGUUCCGGCUCUCAACAUGCGUUUGUGGUAUGCUCCUCAUCUCGAGUUGCCUAACGGGGUGGUCUUGAAAGGAGCGACUCUGGUUGCGAUCCGGCCGAGCGAGCAGCCCAAGAAGGAGGUGGCGGGAUCGGAGGCAAAUUGGGUUGCAUCGGCGUUUGAGGAGCCAUUUGGGACUGCUGCAAGGAUGUUGGUGAAGAGGAGGACCUACUGCCUCGAAAUGAACUCUUUCUGAAGGAGGUGGCUUAUCUAAGGAUGAAGAGACAGAUGCAUGAGGUAUUUUCUCUUUUUUCUCUUUUUUUACAGAAUCCUUUAAUAAGUUUUGAUUGUUUCGGAGAUCUGUGGUUGAAUGCUAGCUAGUAUAUUGUAAUUCUUCAUUCUGUUGCUUUUUAUCUUAGGUUCGAAGUUGAAUUGUCUCUUGUUUGUUUAUUCUUAUUGCUGUUUCAAUGAUAAUAAAUUACUCUGUCUUGGUUUCUGAAAAUCAUGAGCAAUUUCUCAUACCAAUUGCUUCUGAUUUUUCCCUAAAUUGCAUAUUGGAUUCCCAAUUACAUAAGAGGGGUGCUUGAAGCUAUUGACUCCCUUUGCAUCUGUCUUAUUCCAAAGAGUUUUUCCACUCUGAUUCCAAUUGCGUCCUGAUUUUGGAUCCACUAUGUUGUUAUCUUGCAGUCUGUCACAUUCCCUUCAAUUUUGUUGGUUCAUAAUUUUUUUACUCCAAAUGAAGAAGAAUCAGAAGAUGCUUGUUGUGAACUACUUGAUCUGUUCUUUAUCUUAUCUAAUGGGAAUUGAAGGGCACUGUGUAUCUCCAUUGCUAGAAAGAUUGGUGGAAAUUUCAUUCUGCUAUGAUGCAUCUGUUUGGUUUUUAUACUCCUUACGUUUCUCAGUUAACCAUUUUAUAUCUAAGCUGUUGUGAGAGUGACUCUUGACCAGUUUCCUGUUUGAAUACUAGUUUUUGGGAAAUUCUGUGCUGCAACUGCGACAUCACCAUCUGUUUUAAGCUUUGAUUUCUUGAAUCCGUUUUAUAUCAGUGAUCCUGACUUCCUUAUUCAAGUAUCUUUCAGGUAAGCGAAGGUAAGGUCCCAAAAUCGCAGAGUGCAAAUUUUGUCUUGAGCAGAGCAAGCUGCAAGCGAGUUGCCGGCAANCAUUCGGCGAGAUAAAUCAUCUUUCCGUACACCGAAUUUAUAUAGCAGGAUUUUUUAUGGGAAAAACUGAAGUUAGGAUUUUUAGAGGAAAAUGAAAGUUCGGGACAUUUUGUGGAAAACGCUGAAAGUUCGGGACAUAAAACAGUAUUAACCCAAAUUAAAAUCAUAUUUUGUUAAUUUAAUCUUCAAUAGUAUCUUUUCUAUCAAAUAAAAAUAUUAAUUAUGAUAUAAUUAUAUCUUACAUAUCAGACACAUAUAAAUUCCUCCCUGAAAUAAUACUCCCUCCGUCCGCCAAAAGUAUGGCACUUUGGCUGGGCACGGAGAUUAAUAAAAUUAGUGAUGAUGUUGAUGUAGUGGAGAAAGGGUCCCACCACUUUUUGAGAUGUGUGGUGGAGAUUGAAUUUGGGGUGGGUUUUUUGUAAAUAAAGAGUGUUUGUAAGGAUAAAAUAUAAAGGUGGAUGGUGGGACCAUUGCUUUAAAAGGAAAGUUGUAUACUUUUUGCGGACGCCCAAUAUAGUAAUUGUGCCAUACUUUUGGCGGACAGAUGAGAUAUUUUUUAUCUUACAAGUACACUGAUUGAGAUAUGAAGGGUAAUUUAAGUAUUUUGGAUAUAUGAUCAAGUUUUUAUAACAUGUGGACAUUUUUAUUUUUGACUUAACAAAGUGGGCAUAAAAAAAUCCGCCUCCGAAUUAUUAGUUACUAGAAAAUAAAAGAGAAGAAAAGAAAAAAGAAGAAAAGAAAAUACUACUCCCUCCGUCCACGAAUUAAAGCCCUACUUGCACUUAAAUUUUUGUCCACCAAUUAAAGCCCUAUUGUGCUUUAUGUACCUUAUUACUCUUCUUCUUUUCCUAUAUUUACUACCCUUUGCCACUAAUGGACCCACCUUACAACAACUUUAUUAUUUUUAUAUUCUAUAUUUAUUACACUUUAUCACUAAUGGACCCACCACACAACACCUUUAACACUUUAGUCAACCAAUUUAUCACUUUAGUCAACUACCCUUAUAUUUCAUCCACAACACCUUUUUUAGUUUUCUUAGUCUCCGUGCCCACCCUCAAAUGGGGCUUUAAUUCGUGGACGGAGGGAGUAUAAUAUAGAAAAAAUACAGUAUAAAAAUAAAACGGAACGACAGGCAGCAAUGUCGUUUGGGAAUUCAACUGUCCCAGGCUCCGCAUAUCUACUGUCAUAGGCUCAUAGCCAUAGGCACUUAAAAAGCAAAGAAAAAGAAAGAAAGAAAAAAACAAGAAGAAAAGAAAAACACGCACAACACACACCACACCACCAUUUUCCUCUUCCUCCUCCUUCACUCACUUCUCCCAAAUUCCCCCCACCUCAUUAAACUCCCACCCUAAUUCCACAAAUCCAAACUCUCUCCCUCUCUCUCUCAGAUCCAUUGAGUUUGUUUGACUCAAUUUCUUCCUUCACAUCUUUCUACCUAAACUCGCUUGAAAUCACCUUCCGAUUCUCGUGUAUCUGGUGCCAACUUGUUGGGGGUGUUUUGGCUCAAGAGCUCGAAUUGUCGCUGAAAGCUAUGGCUUCGAUUGGAGCAGAUCUGUGCCGCAAAAUCUACCCCGAGCCGGUCGACCACUUCGAUCGGUUGCCGGACUCUCUCAUCCUCUUGAUCUUCAAUAAAAUCGGAGACGUGAAGGCGCUGGGCCGAUGCUGCGUCGUUUCGAGGCGGUUCCACUCGCUCGUUCCCCAAGUCGACAACGUCGUAGUCCGCGUCGACUGCGUCAUCUCCGAUGACGAUCCUUCCUCCAACUCUUCUUCGUCCGCAUCCGGUUCCGCCGCCGGCGACAAGUCGCGCCACCCUAUCUCCUCCCUCUUCCGCAUCUUCUUCUCCGGGAUCUUCAAACCCUUGCAGUCCCUGUCUCAGCUCAUCACCCCCUCGGCGCGCCGGCUUCCUCUUUCGGAGGAUUUCGACUGCGAAGCGGAGCAGAGCACCGUCACACACCAUUCGCCGACGCAGGUCUUGAAGAAUUUCAACGAGAUCAAGCUGCUCAGGAUAGAGCUCCCCACGGGGGAGCUGGGGAUUGAUGAAGGCGUUUUGCUCAAAUGGAAGGCGGAAUUCGGCUCCACGCUUGACAGCUGCGUGAUUCUCGGAGCUUCGAGCGUCGUGCAGAGUGCAAAUAGCGGCUACAAUUGCCUGGGCGCUUGCAAUACCGCAAUUAGUGGUGAUAGUGGAGUGGAGAACGAUAAUGGUAGCAUACCGGAAUCGUUCUACACCAACGGAGGCCUGAAGCUGCGCGUGGUGUGGACCAUCAGCUCGUUGAUCGCCGCCUCCGCCAGGCAUUACCUUCUGCAGCCUAUAAUAGCGGAGCACAAGACGCUCUCGAGCUUGGUUUUGACGGAUGCUGAUGGGCAAGGGGUGCUGUCUAUGAAUAAGGAGCAGCUGGAGGAGCUGAGGGUGAAGCCUCUGUCAGCGUCGUCGGCUUCGAAGAGGACUCUUGUUCCGGCUCUCAACAUGCGUUUGUGGUAUGCUCCUCAUCUCGAAUUGCCUAACGGGGUGGUCUUGAAAGGAGCGACUUGGUGCGAUCCGGCCGAGCGAGCAGCCCAAGAAGGAGGUGGCGGGAUCGGAGGCAAAUUGGGUUGCAUCGGCAUUUGAGGAGCCAUUUGGGACUGCUGCAAGGAUGUUGGUGAAGAGGAGGACCUACUGCCUCGAAAUGAACUCUUUCUGAAGGAGGUGGCUUAUCUAAGGAUGAAGAGACAGAUGCAUGAGGUAUUUUCUCUUUUUUCUCUUUUUUUUAC